CACCGCGUGGCCUACAUAUAACACUGUUUGUCGAAUGGCAUUUAUCACUUUAUUGUGAUAAUUCCCAUUUCAGUUCAAGAAUAACAUAUGCAACAUGGCGUACGACGGUAUUACCGUCGUAACGUUCCUGAAUGAUAUGAACGCGUAUUGCUACUAUUUGAAUGUACUCAAUGAAUAUGAGAUUGAUUCAGAUAGAGACAUGUAUGGUAAUAUAUGUUCAAUGUAUCAUUUGUAUUGCAACCUGAGCUCAGGCGUGAUUACCCGCUGAACUUAAGCAUAUCAUUUAGCGGAGGAAAAGAAACUAAAUG
rnacentral:rRNA from 1 species